rnacentral:lncRNA from 1 species
GCGGUUUGUCAUCUGUCACACCGUUCAUCCUCCUGUCCCGCUUGGUCUUGGGGCGCUGCUUCCCCGCCAGGACACGGAGCUCCUCUUCCGAUGGGUGCUUGUAGCGGUGCAGGCUGCCAUUGCAGAGCAGCCAGCGAGCGAAGGAGCAGUGCGGGGCCAACUUCUGCAUGACGCUUGCUGCCAGCAGGCUCACCACCACCUGCACCCCCAUCACCGCCU